AGGGUCAGGAGUACAUGUUUGUGGUUUUUUUUUUUACCCUGUAGUGUUCCUUUAACAUCUGUGAAUGCCCAGGGCCCACAAAUCCCAGAGGAGGUCUUUAGUCUCUUGCGAUAAUCUGUGGACAUUCCAGGAUCCUUUGAAAGAGUUCAGGCCACUAGGGGAAGCCAGUCUUCGAUCAGGAGCAGGUGUAGAUUCCCUUGUGGGUUGUGAAUAGGCAAAGGGAAGGAUGGCAGCAAAACCGGGUUCAUAUGAGUGAGGUCCAAGAGAUUGGGGAAACCAGGCAUGACUCUGCCAGAAAGGAGUGACUAGUAGGAGAGACCUGAUCUGAAACAGUAACAGUAUAAUGGCAAACGGAGGUAACGCUUGCA